rnacentral:rRNA from 1 species
UACGUAGGGUGCGAGCGUUAAUCGGAAUUACUGGGCGUAAAGCGUGCGCAGGCGGUUCGCCAAGUCAGGUGUGAAAUCCCCGGGCUUAACCUGGGAAUUGCGCUUGAAACUAGCGGGCUUGAGUGUGGCAGAGGGGGGUGGAAUUCCACGUGUAGCAGUGAAAUGCGUAGAGAUGUGGAGGAAUACCGAUGGCGAAGGCAGCCUCCUGGGCCAACACUGACGCUCAUGCACGAAAGCGUGGGGAGCAAACAGG